CAAAAACAUGGUUUCUUGUUUCAUUAAAUAAGAAAUUUGGCCUGCCCACUGAUAACUAUUAAAGGGCUGCAGUAUUUUGACUGUACAAAGGUAGCACAAUCAUUAGUCUUUUAAUUGUGGACUGGUAUGAAAGGUUAGACAAAUAAUUAUUAUUUUGUGGUUUAAUGGUUGAAUUUUCUUUUUCUGUUAAAAAGCAGAGGUGUGAUUAAAAGACAAGAAGACCCUUUAAAAUUUAAUUUGAUGUUUUUAUUUGUGUUUAUAGUAAAAAAAUAAAAUAAAUUCAUUGAGUUUUGUUGGGGCGGCAGGUAUAAUAAAUCUGUAAAACUUAUAAAUAUAAUUAAUUAGAUUGUUGUGUGAGCCUAUAUAUGGCUAAUAAAAUAAAUUACUGAAGGGAUAACAGCGUGAUGUGUUUUGAGAGUUCUAAUUGACAAAUAUGUUUGCGACCUCGAUGUUGGAUUAAGAUAUCCUGUUGAGGCGCAGUAGUUUGGCAGGAAGGUCUGUUCGACCUUUAAUAUCUUACAUGAU
rnacentral:rRNA from 1 species